UACGGGGGGGCAAGCGUUGUUCGGAAUUACUGGGCGUAAAGGGCUCGUAGGCGGCCAACUAAGUCAGACGUGAAAUCCCUCGGCUUAACCGGGGAACUGCGUCUGAUACUGGAUGGCUUGAGUUUGGGAGAGGGAUGCGGAAUUCCAGGUGUAGCGGUGAAAUGCGUAGAUAUCUGGAGGAACACCGGUGGCGAAGGCGGCAUCCUGGACCAACACUGACACUGAAAAGCGAAAGCCAGGGGAGCAAACGGG
rnacentral:rRNA from 1 species